rnacentral:rRNA from 1 species
UACCCGCAGCACAAGUGGUGGUCAUUAUUAUUGGGCCUAAAGCGUCCGUAGCUGGCUUGUUAGAUGCCUGGGUAAAUCGAUGCGCUCAACGUAUCGACUUCCGGGUAGACCGGCAAGCUCGAGACCGGGAGAGGUGUAGGCUACUCGAGGGGUAGGGGUAAAAUCCUGUAAUCCUUCGGGGAGGACCAGUGGCGAAGGCGUCACGCUAGAACGGCUCCGACAGUGAGGGACGAAGCCCUGGGGCGCAAACCGG